rnacentral:tRNA from 1 species
GGUUAUAGCUCAAUGGUAGAGCACUUGUCUAGUAUGUGUGAGGCACUGUGUUCAAGUCUCAGCACCA